ensembl:lncRNA
AGUAGGCAGGCAGGUACCACACCACGUGGCCCGUGGAUGGGGGAUGGGAGCCUGGAGAGUCCAAACCUGAGCUAGGGAGGAAAGAGACGGCCGAAGUGGUUCUCUGAGGAGACGUUAGCUGGGCCAGGAAAGGCACUGCAGGCAGCAGGUCAUCCCGGGCGAGGGAAGAACCUCCAGCAGCCACAACAAGAUGGCCACACCGUGGCAGGCGCCCAGGGCUCGUGAUCGCUCCCGGUGGGACUGAGUGGUUCACAGUGAGUCCAGGUCGGAGAACAGGCAGGUCCUAAAGGUCCGGAUUCAUGACCAGGUGCUGAAUUGACAUCAUCAGAUGGACUAACCGCCCUGGUGACAGAGUUGGUGCCGUUUCCCAGAUCCUCCUUGGGACAACCUUGCUAGUCACCCCUUCCUCCCUGCCCUCAGGGUCAACAGCCGGCCUAGCCAACCCGGGGUGGGAGGACGCCUGCUGCCUCCUGUUGCGGCAGACUCCCUCUCCCCUCUCUCUGCAGUCUCACUGGCAAAUGAGUAAGAAGAAUAGAAUUACAGUUGGGCUACACGAGACACAGAAUUAGCGGGAUUAAAUAAAAAUAGCUAUUAAAAGUGCCUUA